rfam:Vibrio sp. C7 DNA, contig: contig00217, strain: JCM 19233.
CCAUCUGUAUCACCAGAUGAACCUAGGGCUCUGAAUAAAGUAGCGAGCCUGACAAUGUAACGAAGAUUGAUCUUGUAUCAAUCGGGAUCUGAACCGUGAGGGAACGAUCCUCCUGAUAACCACAAAAUCGGGUGAGUGC